rnacentral:snRNA from 1 species
CGCGCUAACCUAGAACCC